UACGUAGGGUGCGAGCGUUAAUCGGAAUUACUGGGCGUAAAGCGUGCGCAGGCGGUUCGUUGUGUCCGUCGUGAAAGCCCCGGGCUUAACCUGGGAACUGCGAUGGAAACUAGCGAGCUGGAGUGUGGCAGAGGGGGGUGGAAUUCCGCGUGUAGCAGUGAAAUGCGUAAAGAUGCGGAGGAACACCGAUGGCGAAGGCAGCCCCCUGGGCUAACACUGACGCUCAGGCACGAAAGCGUGGGGAGCGAACAGG
rnacentral:rRNA from 1 species